rnacentral:rRNA from 1 species
CCGGUGAUGAGCGGAACCGAAAAUGCCUUGCGCUUUUCGAGGGGGACGUAGGUCUCUUGAAGCCUCCUGGUCCUGCGGACGAAAGUAGGCCCUUACGGGCAAAAACCUUUUGUGAACUGUUUCUGUCUCUGGCGGUGGGGUAGAACGCGGGCAACUGCAUCUAUCUGUCAGCUCGGGCAACCGGGCCGUGGACAAACCGCCAACCACUUGCUUGAACCUAACUUACUAUUUUAUUGUCUGACAUUCUAUUUGUAUAAAUAUACAAACAACUUUUGGCAACGGAUCUCUUGGCUCUCGCAACGAUGAAGAACGCAGCGAAAUGCGAUAAGUAGUGUGAAUUGCAGAAUUCAGUGAAUCAUCGAAUCUUUGAACGCACAUUGCGCUCCCUGGUAUUCCGGGGAGCAUGCCCGUUUCAGAAUCAUUAAAAUCUCACAAACCUGGUUUACGUUCGCGAAAACCGGGGGAAGUGGAUGUGGGUGCACUUGCAAGCCUGGCUUGCGAUGCAUCUAUAAAUGAUUGUGACGUGCGCCAAUUGUCGUGUCAACUGGUCGUCCGAAGCGCAACAGAUCCAUCUAUUCGUUUUGGUCAUCAGCUGGCUGACUUGGAGGCAUGUACUCAACUUGUCAACACGGGCCCUGCAGUUUUGCAGAGCUCGCUGAUAACUUGGUCUGAAAUCGGGCAAGAAAACCCGCUGAACUUAAGCAUAUCAAUAAGCGGAGGAAAAGAAACUAACAAGGAUUCCCCUAGUAACGGCGAGUGAAGCGGGAACAGCUCAAAUUUGAAAUCUCACAGGGCCACCUGUGCGAAUUGUAG